UACAGAGGGUGCGAGCGUUGUUCGGAAUUACUGGGCGUAAAGGGCGCGUAGGCGGACAGUUUAGUCAGAGGUGAAAGCCCAGGGCUCAACCUUGGAAUUGCCUUUGAUACUGGCUGUCUUGAGUUCGGGAGAGGUGAGUGGAAUGCCGAGUGUAGAGGUGAAAUUCGUAGAUAUUCGGCGGAACACCAGUGGCGAAGGCGACUCACUGGCCCGAUACUGACGCUGAGGCGCGAAAGCGUGGGGAGCAAACAGG
rnacentral:rRNA from 1 species